UGGGCCUAAAACGUCUGUAGCUCGCUCAAAAAGUCCUUGGUGAAAUCAAAGGGCUUAACCUUUUGAAUUGCCAAGGAAACUCUUGGGCUAGAGGCCGGAAGAGGUCAGGGGAAUUUCAGGGGUAGCGGUGAAAUGUUAUGAUCCUUGAAAGACCUCCAGUAGCGAAGGCGCCUGACCAGGACGGUCCUGACAGUGAGGGACGAAAGCUGGGGGAGCGACCCGGAUUAGAUACCCGGUUAGUCCCAGCCGUAAACGAUGUGGACUUGGUGUCCUAGCACCUAAUGAGGCGCGGGGGUGCCGUAGGGAAGCUGUUAAGUCCACUGCCAGGGAAGUACGCCCGCAAGGGUGAAACUUAAUGGAAUUGGCGGGAGCUCACUACAAGGGGUGGAUGCUGCGGUUCAAUUGGAUACAACCCCAGAUAAUCUUACCAGGGCUGACAGCAGGAUGAUGGACAGUCUGAAGGGCUUUCCUGACGCGCUGAGAGGUGUUGUAUGGUCAUCGUCAGCUCGUACUAUGAAGCGUCCUGUUAACUCAGGCAACGGGCGAGACCCACAUCCAUAGUUGCCAUCUUCCAGUUUGGGGGAGCACUCUAUGGAAACUGCAGUGGUAACACUGAGGAAGGGGUGGGCAACGGUAGAUCUGUAUGGCCCGAAUGCCCUGGGCAACACGCGGCAUACAAUGGCUAAGACAAUGAGUUCCGAGCCCGAAAGGGCAAGGUAAUCCCCUAAACUUAGCCUUAGUUCGGAUUGAGGGUUGUAACUCACCCUCAUGAAAUUGGAA
rnacentral:rRNA from 1 species